CCCAAACUCCAUGGAAGAAUGGGAUUCCGCGAUUUUCGUUCCUUUAAUAGAGCUUUGUUAGCUCGUCAAGGUUAGUGGUUGAUUCGAUAUCCCAACUUCUUUUGUGCUCAAAUUUUCAAAGGUCGAUGUUAUCCUACUACAGAUUUUUGGAAUGCCAGGAAAGGUCCUCGGGUGUCGUGGGUGUGGUCCAGCAUUUUGGAGGGCCGUGAGGUGUUAAACAGGGGGUCCGAUGGCAAGUUUAUAAUGGAAAGUCCAUUAACUUUUGGGAUGAUAAAUGGGUAGCUUCCUCUCCAGAUUUUCGUGUUCAAUCUCGGAACCCACAGGGUGUCAAUUAACUUCUGUUAGUGAUGCUAUUAACCCCAAUAACAAUUGUUGGAGAAGAGAUGUGCUGCAAAAUGUGAUCUCUAAAGAGGAGGCUGGUGCUAUUUGCACUUUUCCCUUUGCGACUGAAAAUCAAGAAGAUCGGCUCAUUUGGCAUCAUGAUCCGAAAGGCAUCUAUUCUGUUAAAUCUCGGUACCGAGUGGCAGUCCAAUAUCAGUAGCAUCAUUCCGAGAACAGACUAUCUUCUUCCUUUCAGAUGCCUGACUAUGUCUGGAAAUUCUUAUGGGCCCUCCCAAUUCCUCCUAAGCUUCGACACUUUUGGUGGCGGGCUUGUAACAAUUUGUUGGCAUCCAAAGCUAAUAUUUUCUGGCGUAAGUGUGCCCAAGAUGAUUUAUGUCCCAUUUGCCAUUUGGAAUCUGAAACGGCAGAACAAGUGCUUUGUGGUUGUGAUUGGACACGGCCAGUGUGGUUCUGGAGCAAUUGAACAUCACUCACAGAUCUGGUUUCAUCCCCUACAAGAAAAAUUCAUUGUUACGGCGCUUAGAAAAAGAUGUUUUUUGAAAAACGUCUUCAUUUCUCGUUUUCCAAGACGCGUGCCUUCGCUGAUGCUUAACCUUGCCAAUUAAUUAAUGAGUUAAAAAAAGAAAAAGAAACAAACCUCUGCCACUCAAACCUAAUAGAAUAUAACUUUUAUUUCCAAACAUCAGAGUCACAGAUUCAUUACCCUCUCCCCUCUCUUUCUCCUUCUCCAACAUUAUUCUCUCUCUAAAAUGGCAUGAAUGAAGCUCUCUUUGUAGAUAUUGAUGAAGCAACUGAUGAUGAAGAUUUCAAGGUGGUUCCCAAAUCUCAUCUAACUUCUUACCUUAUUCCCAAUCUUGGAAGUGAGAGAGAAUGAAGUAGUAUCCUACCAGAGAGAUUUGAAGAGCCUCAGAAAGAUGAAGUUUCUCUGUGCCCUAACCUUGGCCGUUGGAAAACUAGUCGUCAACUACGUUGAGCAGAACCACAAGGACAAAAUGAAGAUCUUUAUGGCAAAGUAUUACUGUGUGAGAUUGCAUGCUUUAUUCGGUGCUGCUUUGGCAGCUGGACUGGUAGCAGCCAGAACCAUCGCUGGAAAAUAUGUUGACAUGAUGGUUUUUCUCUGAUUUUCCACUCCAUAGAUUUCAAAAUCUGCCUGGUGAGCAUACAUUUUUGAAUUCUUGCUAUUAUGAGUAUUCUGUGAAAGCAAUUUUGGCUAUACAUCAAACACACAUGUGCACAAUUGACAGUACACUAAAAGUGAAUUUUUCAGCAGUGUGCAUACCACCUUAGCUAGGUUGUUACUUUUUUGUGUUAAUAACUAACAAUUAAUCAUGGUGCUUAAAAUUAAUAAAAAGAGAGAGGACAUAGUGAUCAUUCAAGCACACAUUGGUCCUUCUGCAUUGCAUUUAAUAUCAAAGGCUUAUUCAAGAACCUAAUUAAAGUUUUCAUUCUGUUUUUAAAAUUCUUGUCCCUCUGUUCCCAACAGAGUCUUAGGCACACACGUGAUAUGAAUUUUUUUUUAAAAUAUGAGGAUCUUAAUGUUACAUGCUGUUUUUUCAAUUGUGAUGUCUAAUAUGUUAUAGUAAGGUCUUAAAUUUGAAGGAGUGGGUAUUUUAAGAUUAUGGGUGUUGACCUGUAGGUAAUAUAUCCUUAAAUAUUUGCCACACUAGCAUGAGCUUUGCUUUGACAAAUAUGAUGAUGAUUUGACUCAGAAAUUGUUUGAAUUUUAUUUUGUGUCAACAUUAAUUAGAGAAUUGUGUCAAGAUGCGAAGCUACUUCCUUGCAACGUCAAUUUCAAGCUAUGAAGUUACUGCCUUCCAAUGCUAAUGAUUUCAUUGUUAUUAAUCAUUGAUUAUGUCUAUCAAGAAAAAAACUUUAACCAUGAGAAUCUCUUGGUUGAGAAUUUUUAUUUUUAAAAUUUUUCUUUGUGUUAUUAUAUUGCACUGCUCAAAUGCAUUAAUCUUGUGAUGAUUUGAUUAUGAAUCAAGAAAUAUAUGAUGCCCAUUGAGUCCAUACCUUUCCAUGAAAUCAUCUACUUUAAGAACGUCGACAAACUUCAAGCAGUAAGUAUUUUUGUAAUACUGAAACUAAGAAAUAGAAAUCAAAUGGAAAAUGUUCACUGACUACUUAUUGUUGUUAAGAUAGUGCAAAAUUUUGGUAACUACACAAGUCAUUUAAGAAGCUACAUAUGAGUUGAUAGGUUCUAUUGAUUUCUAUAUUAUAUUUUGAUAUAAUGUGUAAGUAGUUUUAUUGUAACGGUGAUGGUGUCUUGUCUUCCUCUCCAUAUCUUUUUGUCCUUUGGGUUAAUUUUUAUUUCUUUAUUUAUUUUUUAACGGGAAAAAUUUCAUUGAUAGUUUUAUUGUAAGCAAGGGGAACUAAAGUUUGUUGGAAGCCUUCAACCUGCUUCCCAGUGCUGUAAAGAGUACAUGAUUGGUCUUGCAUGUGUUGUAUAGCAUGCAGUUGAUCUCUCCUCCCCCCCCCCUCCAUCUUUUUAUGCUAGACAAAUUCAUCCAUGCAAUUUAAAUAUCUUGAUUUUUUUUUUUUUGAAAAUUUUAUCUUAAGAACUAUUGAUGAGCUGUUACUAAACCUAAAAUUGAUUGGACUUCACAAUUUGGUAGGGUUGCUGAUUUCGUGGUGGCAAAUUCCGAUCCUUUCAUACCUAUGUAAGGAAGUUGUCAACAACCCUUUUCUUGGAGUUUAGUACAACAUUGUAAUUUAACGUUUUUCUCUUUCUCGCAGAAGUCGAAAGACUCGUAGGUCUUGUCAUUUCUGGAAGUGGCUAAGUGGGCUUAUCUGUUUGUCAAUCUUCAAUUGCUCAUGAAAUUUCUGAACUUAUUAAGAGACCUAAGCUUGAGGCAGGUAUUUGUUAUGACCCAGAAGAUUUUUGGCUGGAUUUAGAAAGGUUUUACACUUGAGCAUCUUGGUUAUCUGCAUUCCAUUUUCUGAAUCUGAUCUGCGCAAGGCCUCUGAAUCAUUGAAAAGAGUUGCAGCAGCGGUUUUGGCGGCUCAUGACUGAAUUGAAGAGUGCACAUCAGAUUUCAUUUUAUUUUUCCAAUGAUAUUUUAGACAUUUCUUUGAUUGCGUCAACAGAAAAACUCGGGAAUUUUUGUUUCUUGGUAGAUGCUUUCAUAGUAUUUGUAUGCAUAAUUAGUUUGAAUUGCAUCUUUUGUGCCGAUUUGUUUUGUAUUAACUUUCAACUUACCACUAGGCACUAGUUUAACUU